rnacentral:rRNA from 1 species
AUUGAACGCUGGCGGCAGGCUUAACACAUGCAAGUCGAGCGAGCGGCGGACGGGUGAGUAAUGUCUGGGAAUCUGCCUGAUGGAGGGGGAUAACCACUGGAAACGGUCGCUAAUACCGCAUACCAUCAGAUGUGCCCAGAUGGGAUUAUCUAGUAGGUGGGGUAAUGGCUCACCUAGGCGACGAUCCCUAGCUGGUCUGAGAGGAUGACCAGCCGCACUGGAACGUAGACACGGGCCAGACUCCUACGUGAUGCAGCAGUGGGAAAUAUUGCACAAUGGGCGCAAGCCUGACGCAGCCAUGCCGCGUGUGUGAAGGAGGCCUUCGGGUUGUAAAGCACUUGCAGCGUGGAGGCGUUACUCGCAGAAGAAGCACCGGCUAACUCCGUGCCAGCAGCCGCGGUAAUAC